CGGCGGACGGGUGAGUAACACGUGGGCAACCUGCCUGUAAGACUGGGAUAACUUCGGGAAACCGGAGCUAAUACCGGAUAAUCCUUUUCCUCUCAUGAGGAAAAGCUGAAAGACGGUUUCGGCUGUCACUUACAGAUGGGCCCGCGGCGCAUUAGCUAGUUGGUGAGGUAACGGCUCACCAAGGCAACGAUGCGUAGCCGACCUGAGAGGGUGAUCGGCCACACUGGGACUGAGACACGGCCCAGACUCCUACGGGAGGCAGCAGUAGGGAAUCUUCCGCAAUGGACGAAAGUCUGACGGAGCAACGCCGCGUGAGCGAAGAAGGCCUUCGGGUCGUAAAGCUCUGUUGUCAGGGAAGAACAAGUGCCGGAGUAACUGCCGGCACCUUGACGGUACCUGACCAGAAAGCCACGGCUAACUACGUGCCAGCAGCCGCGGUAAUACGUAGGUGGCAAGCGUUGUCCGGAAUUAUUGGGCGUAAAGCGCGCGCAGGCGGUCCUUUAAGUCUGAUGUGAAAGCCCACGGCUCAACCGUGGAGGGUCAUUGGAAACUGGGGGACUUGAGUGCAGAA
rnacentral:rRNA from 1 species